AGGGAAUCUUCCACAAUGGACGGAAGUCUGAUGGAGCAACGCCGCGUGAGUGAUGAAGGUUUUCGGAUCGUAAAACUCUGUUGUAAGGGAAGAACCAGUACGUCAGGCAAUGGACGUACCUUGACGGUACCUUAUUAGAAAGCCACGGCUAACUACGUGCCAGCAGCCGCGGUAAUACGUAGGUGGCAAGCGUUGUCCGGAAUUAUUGGGCGUAAAGCGCGCGCAGGUGGUUUCUUAAGUCUGAUGUGAAAGCCCACGGCUUAACCGUGGAGGGUCAGUGGAAACUGGGAGACAUAAGUGCAGAAUAGGAGAGGGGAAUUCCGAGUGAAUCGGUUAGCUGCAUAGAGAAUUGCAGUAACACCAAUAGCGAACCAUACUAUCUAAUCUGCAACUUACUCUGUGCCGCGAAACCAUGAUAAGCAAACU
rnacentral:rRNA from 1 species